UAUUAUGAAAAUCGCUGAAACUGACCUAAUUUUGUUUUCAAAAGUAGAAUUCCGAUAUUUAUUUCGUGGGGAUAAAAUAAGUAGUUGCAUGGUGUGGGAUCAGUAUACAACCUAUAAAGUUUAUAGGUUAUACUAUAAUCUACUUGGCUGGGGGCUCAAGCUAACUAAAGGUGUUAAUAAGCAAUUUAGUGUGGUAGCACGCUGCAAAUGUCAACGGGGUUUAGUGCGGGUGUUGACGGUGUGUGAACAGCCAGGGUGGCUGAAAUCAUACUCCUACCAGAUCUACGGACUCCGCCCCAGAGUUUACGACAGUCUGAUUUGAUUUGAUUUUGAUUUGAUUUGUGCUUCGGCAGUUCGUAUAGGCCAGCAAUGUCGAUCGCAUUUAAUUUUUGCUUCGUAUACGACACUGAUUGUUGUGGGUCAGACAUAGUUAUUUUCUUGUCCAUACUGUCGGGAAAAUAGAGUUCUAUUUCUCAUACUUCGGACAAUGGCGUGGAGACUUCUUUGUCCUCCACCUGAGCCACGGCCAUUAAAUUGUGUACCACGUGAUACGCAUCGUGGCGGCUCUCUAUACAAAUUUCAACACAUGGGAGGUAACUCUCGUAAAAAGGAAAUACGGAGUUGUUGUUCUUAGUGGUGAAAAUUUAUUUUAAACUUCUAGAAUCUAGAGUCAUGGUUUCAUGGUGUGACAACACUUCUACGUCCACAAGUUCCACCUACACGGUCUGAUAAGAUUACAACAGACUCAAGAGGUCUUCUAUUGUCACUAGAAAGAAUAGAGUUGAUGAAGCUGAGAUCUUGAGCUUCAUGGAAAGUUAGUCAACAGU